CCUACGGGUGGCAGCAGUGAGGAAUAUUGGUCAAUGGCCGGAAGGCUGAACCAGCCAAGCCGCGUGAAGGACGACGGUGCCAAGCAUUGUAAACCUCUUUUGUCAAGGGACAAAAUCAGGCACGAGAGCCUGACCGAGGGUACUUGAAGAAAAAGCAUAGGCGAACUCCGUGCCAGCAGUCGCGGUAAUACGGAGGAUGCGAGCGUUAUCCGGAUUUAUUGGGUUUAAAGGGUGCGUAGGCGGGCUGUUAAGUCAGCGGUAAAAGUCCGGGGCUCAACCCCGGCUAGCCGUUGAAACUGGCUGUCUUGAGUGGUCGAGAGGUAUGCGGAAUGCGAGGUGUAGCGGUGAAAUGCUUAGAUAUUGCGCAGAACUCCGAUUGCGAAGGCAGCAUACCGGCGGCGAUCUGACGCUGAGGCACGAAAGCGUGGGUAUCGAACAGGAUUAGAUACCCUAGUAGUC
rnacentral:rRNA from 1 species